rnacentral:rRNA from 1 species
AUUGAACGCUGGCGGCAGGCCUAACACAUGCAAGUCGAGCGAGCGGCGGACGGGUGAGUAAUGUCUGGGAACCUGCCUGAUGUAGGGGGAUAACUACUGGAAACGGUAGCUAAUACCGCAUACCAUCAGAUGUGCCCAGAUGGGAUUAGCUAGUAGGUGGGGUAACGGCUCACAUAGGCGACGAUCCCUAGCUGGUCUGAGAGGAUGAACAGCCAAACUGGAACUGAGACACGGGCCAGACGCCUACGGGAGGCAGCAGUGGGGAAUAUGGCACAAUGGGCGCAAGCCGAAUGCAGCCAUGCCGCGUGUGUGAAGAAGGCCGUCGGGUGGUAAAGCACUUUCAGCGGGGAGGCGUUACCCGCAGAAGAAGCACCGGCUAACUCCGUGCCAGCAGCCGCGGUAAUAC